UACGUAGGGCGCAAGCGUUGUCCGGAAUUAUUGGGCGUAAAGAGCUCGUAGGCGGCUUGUCACGUCGGGUGUGAAAGCCCGGGGCUUAACCCCGGGUCUGCAUUCGAUACGGGCUAGCUAGAGUGUGGUAGGGGAGAUCGGAAUUCCUGGUGUAGCGGUGAAAUGCGUAGAUAUCUGGAGGAAUACCGGUGGCGAAGGCGGCACCCUGGACCGGCAUUGACGCUGAGGAGCGAAAGCUAGGGGAGCAAACGGG
rnacentral:rRNA from 1 species